CUGUUCUUUUCAGUUUAAUCUCUGAAAGGUCUCUAAGGAGACCAAUCGUGAUUAUUCUUAUUUUUGGUCUUGGAACAGUUUCCUCUGUGCUUGCACAUGAUUCUGUUCACAGUGUCCCUGGUAUUACACUGCCUCCAGGCGACGCGACUCUUU
rfam:Trichoderma harzianum strain T6776 Scaffolds0706.1, whole genome shotgun sequence.